CUUAAGUGAAGUGUGUAAAUAUCUGUCUGCUUAAAAUGAAACUGGUGGGCACUGUGGCUGGGCGGAGCAGCAGGACUAGACGUGGGGACAGCAGCCUUUGUGAACCUUAUAGAAACAGUUUUAAUUUGGGGGGAGACCCCUUGCAGGGAU